GACAGAGGGGGCAAGCGUUGCUCGGAAUCACUGGGCGUAAAGGGCGCGUAGGCGGGAUGGCAAGUCGGUCGUGAAAUCCUUCGGCCCCAACCGAAGAACGUCGGCCGAUACUGCCGUUCUUGAGGGAUGCAGAGGAGACUGGAAUUCCCGGUGUAGCGGUGAAAUGUGUAGAGAUCGGGAGGAAUACCGGUGGCGAAGGCGGCAUCCUGGACCGACAUUGACGCUGAACGGCGAAAGCUAGGGGAGCAAACGGG
rnacentral:rRNA from 1 species